AGCAGCCGCGGUAAUUCCAGCUCCAAUAGCGUAUAUUAAAGUUGUUGCAGUUAAAAAGCUCGUAGUUGAAUUUCGGGAUUUAUCCGUCGGUCGGGCUUUUGGGUCUGUACUGGCGUGAUGGAUUCCUACCUUCUGAAUAACCGGCAUGUCAUUAAUUUGGUGCGCUGGGGAAGCAGGACUGUUACCUUGAAAAAAUUAGAGUGCUUAAAGCAGGCUAUUGCCUGAAUACAUUAGCAUGGAAUAAUGAAAUAGGACGGCAUGGUUCUAUUUUGUUGGUUUCUAGGAUCACCGUAAUGAUUAAUAGGGAUAGUUGGGGGCAUUAGUAUUCAAUUGUCAGAGGUGAAAUUCUUGGAUUUAUUGAAGACUAACUUCUGCGAAAGCAUUUGCCAAGGAUGUUUUCAUUAAUCA
rnacentral:rRNA from 1 species